UUCGGGUCGCCGGCGAGUGGCAAACGGGUGAGUAACGCGUGGAUACCUGUCCUGUGGUGGGGAAUAACGUUUAGAAAUGAACGCUAAUACCGCAUAAGCCCUGCGGGGGAAAGAUUUAUCGCCAUAGGAGGGGUCCGCGUCGGAUUAGCUAGUUGGUGGGGUAACGGCCUACCAAGGCGACGAUCCGUAGCUGGUCUGAGAGGAUGAUCAGCCACACUGGGACUGAGACACGGCCCAGACUCCUACGGGAGGCAGCAGUGGGGAAUAUUGCGCAAUAGAGGAAACUCUGACGCAGCGACGCCGCGUGGGUGAAGAAGGCCUUAGGGUUGUAAAGCCCUUUCAGUGGGAAAGAUGAUGACGGUACCCACAGAAGAAGCCCCGGCUAACUCCGUGCCAGCAGCCGCGGUAAUACGGAGGGGGCCAGCGUUGUUCGGAAUUACUGGGCGUAAAGGGCGCGUAGGCGGUUGAUCAAG
rnacentral:rRNA from 1 species